rnacentral:tRNA from 1 species
UUUUGUGGGCUCAGUGACAUAAGUGCCUGCCUGGCAAGCACACGGUCCUGGGUUCAAUUCCCAGUACAAAAA